rnacentral:rRNA from 1 species
GGGUCCGGACACACUGAGGAUUGACAGAUAUACGCUCAUUGCAGUUCGCUGCAUGAGCUGAAAGAUGCUAGUUCUUUCAUGAUUAUGUGAUAGGUGGUGCAUGGCCGUUCUUAGUUCGUGGAGUGAUCUGUCUGCUUAAUUGCGUAUCAAUAAUAGAGACCUAGUAUACGCGUGGAUUUCGCGUGGUAGUGACCCCCUGUUUAACGACAGGCGUGUGUCGCACACGCGUACCUACGCACUGGUCUCAGAUAGCAACGAACGUGACCGUAUUCUAUUGUUGCAGUGAAAUGUGCCUUCGGGUACGACCCACUGCUUAGUAUAUGUACGUGCUUCGGCGCGAACAAUAUACAUUAAACUAUAGAGACCGCUGUUUCUUCUUUAAACCAGAGGAAGGAUACGGCAAUAACAGGUCUGUGAUGCCCUCAGAUGUUCCGGGCUGCACACGUGCUACAAUGAUCAUUGCACUGUGCAUCUAACCCAAUGUGCGUGGACGCCGCAUGCAUGUGCUCUUCGGGGUACACGCAUUGCUGUUGCGACCACGCCGAACCUACUUCGAAAGUAAAAUUUCUCAGUGGGU